rnacentral:rRNA from 1 species
CAGCAGCCGCGGUAAUACGUAGGGUGCAAGCGUUAAUCGGAAUUACUGGGCGUAAAGCGUGCGCAGGCGGUUAUAUAAGUCAGAUGUGAAAUCCCCGGGCUCAACCUGGGAACUGCAUUUGAGACUGUAUAGCUAGAGUACGGUAGAGGGGGAUGGAAUUCCGCGUGUAGCAGUGAAAUGCGUAGAUAUGCGGAGGAACACCGAUGGCGAAGGCAAUCCCCUGGACCUGUACUGACGCUCAUGCACGAAAGCGUGGGGAGCAAACAGGAUUAGAUACCCUGGUAGUCCACGCCGUAAACGAUGGAUACUAGCUGUUGGGCGCAAGCCCAGUGGCUAAGCGAAAGUGAUAAGUAUCCCCCCUGGGGAGUACGUUCGCAAGAAUGAAACUCAAAGGAAUUGACGG